rnacentral:rRNA from 1 species
UACGAAGGGGGGCUAGCGUUGUUCGGAAUUACUGGGCGUAAAGCGCACGUAGGCGGGUUGUUAAGUCAGGGGUGAAAUCCCGGAGCUCAACUCCGGAACUGCCUUUGAUACUGGCAAUCUAGAGACUGGAAGAGGUUAGUGGAAUUCCCAGUGUAGUGGUGAAAUGCGUAGAUAUCGGGAGGAACACCAGUGGCGAAGGCGACUACCUGGCCUGUUCUUGACGCUGAGGCGCGAAAGCUAGGGGAGCAAAGCGGG